rnacentral:rRNA from 1 species
GACGAACGCUGGCGGCGUGCUUAACACAUGCAAGUCGAACGGAAAGGCCCUGCUUUUGUGGGGUGCUCGAGUGGCGAACGGGUGAGUAACACGUGAGUAACCUGCCCUUGACUUUGGGAUAACUUCAGGAAACUGGGGCUAAUACCGGAUAGGAGCUCCUGCUGCAUGGUGGGGGUUGGAAAGUUUCGGCGGUUUGGGAUGGACUCGCGGCUUAUCAGCUUGUUGGUGGGGUAGUGGCUUACCAAGGCUUUGACGGGUAGCCGGCCUGAGAGGGUUACCGGCCACAUUGGGACUGAGAUACGGCCCAGACGCCUACGGGAGGCAGCAGUGGGGAGUAUUGCACAAUGGGCGGAAGCCUGAUGCAGCAACGCCGCGUGCGGGAUGACGGCCUUCGGGUUGUAAACCGCUUUCGCCUGUGACGAAGCGUGAGUGACGGUAAUGGGUAAAGAAGCACCGGCUAACUACGUG